rnacentral:rRNA from 1 species
GUACGCUAUUCAGAGUUUGAUCCUGGCUCAGGAUGAACGCUGGCGCGUGCUUAACACAUGCAAGUCGAACGAAGCACAUUAACGGAACUCUUCGGAGGGAAGAUAAUGUGACUGAGUGGCGACGGGUGAGUAACGCGUGGGUAACCUGCCUUGCACAGGGGGAUAACAGUUAGAAAUGACUGCUAAUACCGCAUAACCCGCUAGUACCGCAUGGUACAGACGGAAAAGAUUUAUCGGUGUAAGAUGGACCCGCGUCUGAUUAGCUAGUUGGUGGGGUAAUGGCUCACCAAGGCGACGAUCAGUAGCCGGCUUGAGAGAGUGGACGGCCACAUUGGGACUGAGACACGGCCCAG